AUUGAACGCUGGCGGCAGGCCUAACACAUGCAAGUCGAGCGGGGUUUUCGGACCUAGCGGCGGACGGGUGAGUAAUGCGUAGGAAGCUACCCGAUAGAGGGGGAUACCAGUUGGAAACGACUGUUAAUACCGCAUAAUGUCUACGGACCAAAGUGUGGGACCUUCGGGCCACAUGCUAUCGGAUGCGCCUACGUGGGAUUAGCUAGUUGGUGAGGUAAUGGCUCACCAAGGCGACGAUCCCUAGCUGGUUUGAGAGGAUGAUCAGCCACACUGGAUCUGAGACACGGUCCAGACUCCUACGGGAGGCAGCAGUGGGGAAUAUUGGACAAUGGGCGCAAGCCUGAUCCAGCCAUGCCGCGUGUGUGAAGAGGGCCUUCGGGUUGUAAAGCACUUUCAGUAGGGAGGAAGCGUUGUGUGUUAAUAGUACACAGCGUUGACGUUACCUACAGAAGAAGCACCGGCUAACUCUGUGCCAGCCGCCGCCGUAAGAC
rnacentral:rRNA from 1 species